GUCUUCAUGAAAUUAAGGGUGUGUCAGAAUGAGAUCACUGCCUGCUGGUGUGGUAUGUGGCUGGAAUGGCUUCUGAUGCCAGAAGGAUCUUUUUUCAGUUAUCACAGCUGUCACUCAUAAGGCAUUGGAACUGCACUUAAUAUGGAUUGUAUUGUAAUGCUAGCCUUCCAGUUCUGAAUCAGAGCAGUAAUUCUCCACUUUUCAAAGAGGAGGUGCUGGCUGUGGAACUAAUACAGCUGAUCUAAGUAGCAUUGCCAGGUUUUGUCUUCAGAUGGAAUAAUUUAUCUGUUACAUUAACAUUUGGAAGCAUGUUGAGUUAAUGCUGAGAUCAUGAAGAUUUACAGAAACCUCAUGUUUAGCCAUGUUUUGCAAACAACAGAGUUUUCCAGGAAACAUAAAGACUCCAGUCAUAUUUUGGCAAGAAGAGAGACCAUUAUGAUUAUUUGGGCAUCUGAGAGAAUUGUGGCAGGAAAUAGCCAAAAGAAGAAGAGGCUUAAGUGGGUCCAUAUGGCACACAACAAUCGACAGCAAAGAUGCAUUGCCAACUUGGUCAAACCCAGUUACUGCAAAUUUCCAGACAAACCUCUGAAUUCCAGGGUGGAGGAAACAAAGUAAACCUCUAG
rnacentral:lncRNA from 1 species